UACGUAGGGUGCGAGCGUUGUCCGGAAUUAUUGGGCGUAAAGAGCUCGUAGGCGGCCUGUCGCGUCGGAUGUGAAAGCCCGGGGCUUAACCCCGGGUCUGCAUUCGAUACGGGCAGGCUGGAGUUCGGUAGGGGAGAUCGGAAUUCCUGGUGUAGCGGUGAAAUGCGCAGAUAUCAGGAGGAACACCGGUGGCGAAGGCGGGUCUCUGGGCCGAUACUGACACUGAGGAGCGAAAGCGUGGGGAGCGAACAGG
rnacentral:rRNA from 1 species